GAUUUAAAAUUAUGGAAAUUCUUCAGGUAGAAAAUGGGCACAUAUGGUUAUCACAGAAAAGCUGUUUUAAAGCCAGUAUUAAGGUAUUAUUAUGCUGCUCCCUUCAAGAAGUAAUUUGCGUGCUGUUUAUUGGAGCUUUGAAUUUAAUCAUCUCAAUCCCACGCUAUUGCAGGAUGACUAUACGAAGAUGUAUUGACAUUUCUUUGGACACAUUAUUUUGCCCCCAUUGUGUGUUGUUUUGCCAGAAUACUGAAGGCAGUGUUUGUAUGAUGGCACAUCCAAAUAAAAAGCAUGUCCUCCUUUUGGGACAGUGAUCCAUUUAA